rnacentral:rRNA from 1 species
UUGCGAAACAUGUAGG